rnacentral:rRNA from 1 species
AUUGACCGCUGGCGGCAGGCCUAACACAUGCAAGUCGAGCGAGCGGCGGACGGGUGAUUAAUGUAUGGGUCCUGCCCGAUAGAGGGGGAUACCUACUGGAAACGGUAGCUCAUACCGCAUACUAUCGGAUAACCCAUAUGGGAUUAGCUAGUAGGUGGGGUAAUGGCUCACCUGGGCGACGAUCCCUAGCUGGUCUGAGCGGAUGAUCAGCCACACGGGGACUGAGACACGGCCCAGACUCCUACGGAGGCAGCAGUGGGGAAUAUUGCACAAUGGGCGCAAGUCUGAUGCAGCCAUGCCGCGUGUAUGAAUAAGGCCCUAGGGUUGUAAAGUACUUUCAGUCGGGAGGCGUUACCGACAGAAGAAGCACCGGCUAACUCCGUGCCAGCAGCCGCGGUAAUUC